UCACUUACAAGUGAAGAGGAAUUUCACUAGAUCGUAGUACUAAGUGGCUAAAACUCUUGAUUUUAUUUAUUUAGGAAGGGUACAUGGUAAGAAAUUAAGGAUGAGUUAUAAUUUGUUAGGUCUUGGGGAUUAAAUACUUUAGCAUUUGAGCUAAAAGUAACAGAAAGUGAAGAGAAAUUUCACUAGACGGCUAAAACUCUUGAUUUUAUUUAUUUAGGAAGGGUGCAUGGUAAGAAAUUAAGGAUGAGUUAUUAUUUGUUCGGUCUGGCGGAUUAAAUACUUCAUUUGAGCAAAAAGUAAACGAAAGUUGUGUAAAUAAAAUUUACACAAUUUAGGGUUGAGUUGCUAUUUAGUAUUACGGUUUAAUAAUAUUUAUUUUCAUUUAAUUGUAAGUGAGAGAUAUUAUGUUUGAUUCUCGUCAAAGGUGAAUUUAAAUCACACUAUUGCUAGCCCAUUAAGAGGCUUAGCUCACCUCCCCCCACCUGUUAAUGUAAAUAAUAUCGUUUAUUAAAAAAAAAAUUAGGGUUGAGUUUCUUCUCACUUACAGGUAUGUAUGUCACCAGAUGCUCCAUUCCUAUAUUCUUCCAAUUUCAGUCUUUGAUAAAAGAAUCAUUUUGUAUUAUUAUUGGCUUAUUUCUUUCUUUUAGGAUUUCUAACAAAAUCCCACUGCAGGAAGAGAGUGUACUCAAAGCAUGCAAACUACAGACUUCCUCUCCUCCCAGACCUCCUAAAAAUUGCAUUAAGUUUUUGGUUCAUCUGCUUUUAAGUGAUGGAUAUAUAAGUGCUUAUUCGGCUUUUCUUCCAUCCACUCAUUUAAACUGCAAUUUGAACUCACUAAUUUACGGUUUUUAUGUAGUCAUCCACAAAUCAAGAACAACGAGGACGAGGGAGAAAUGGGAAGAGUGAUUGACAAAGAGUCUUCUUUUUUGUUUUUCCGUUGUCCUAUUGCUAAUUAAGGAUCCUAGCUAUCAUUUAAUCUAGUUGUUUUAGAAACAGAUUGAAGGAAUUAAAAUGUCCGCAUUUGGUGUAGGUGAUCUUGAUUUAGCAAAUUAGUAACAAUAUUUAGAAGGAAAUUGUACGCCCCGUUAUAACUUGGACUGACUCAUCCUAUAAGAAUUGCUUCAUAAAUUAUCAUAUGUAGAUUCAAAUAUACCUCUUUGCAAAUUAUGUUUCUUUACAAUUUGUAAAAUUGAAAUCCCCUAGAAACCGUAAAUUAAUGAAGCAUUCAAACAAAUUAGUAAGAGACACGUCCUAUACAAUUUAACGUUAAAAUUAUUUUUAUUUACUCAUUUCUCGAGCAUGAGUAAAAAAUCUAUAUAGGCAUGUAACGUCGGUAAUUGAAAAAAUAGUUAUUAUAAUCCAAGAAUCAUAUUAUUAUUUAUCUUGGACUCUGAAUAUUAUUGUUUCUUAUUCAAUUACUUUUUGUAGGGUUUUCAUUUUUAUAUAUUUUUACUUUCGGUCACUACUUUAGAAAGCACAUGACUCAAAAAGGUAUUUUGCACGUUUCGUCGUUCUUUUGAAGAAAUAUUUUGCUUUCAAUAGUAUUUAAGUUGCCACUACAGAAAGUGCAAAAUGACCAAAAAGAGGCGGCUGCCGCAAUACAAAAGUUAUACGUUUUGUUAACUUCGUAUCCACACAUUGUUGUUUCAAAAGGAGAAAAAAGUUACAACCCUAAUCAAGCUUAAUUACAAUCCUAAAACGGUUUUGAUAGAUAAUCCUUUAUGAGUUUAUAUACAAUUGAAGUAUUUGGAGAUAUUAUGGUUGCUUAAUCAUCAAUUUUCAUAGAUUCCCUAACGCAAACCAUAUAAUUGACAUAACUUUUGCUAAGACAAACUUCAAAACGAUAUUUUUUUUUUUUAACAAAGGAUAGAUAUUUUACACAGUUGUAACCAGUGUGAUUUAAGUCCAGGUUUGAUAAAACGGCAAUAACAGUGUUCAAGAAUAUAUGCAUAUAAGCUUUUGUUCAUCGUCAAAAUUAAUAUUUGAAGAGAACACAGUCAAUCUUAGAACCCUUCAUACAAUUUCAGCCCGUCCUACUUUUCUUGUUGUAUACUUCACAACUUUAUUUUCUGGUUUGUUUUUUGUGUGAUGGCACUGAUGUGUGAGUGGGGAUCCAUGUACUGUAUCACUGUAGUGUAGCUAGCUUGUUAAAAAUAUGAAGGAUUAUGUUGUGGCGUCAAAUUCUCCCAUGUGAAGGCAUGCAGGCAAAGGCGGUGACUUGUGAUCGUGUGAACUAAAAACUAAAGAAAAGGAUGGCUUUUAGGGUUUUUACUUUGCUUGCACAUACAGAUACAGUCGCCAAUAAGAAGCUUCGCGGAAAGAGCAAGUGAGCAGUUAGAGCUCUUAUCAUCAACUUAUCAAUCAAGAAAUGCAUUAUAUAUUAGAGCAUCUUUCCUCGAUGGUUUUUGGGCAAAAUAUAUAUGCUUAUUUUUAAUUAGGUAUAACACCUCUACUCGUUAUCAAGUCUCUCACUUUACUCUCUACAUUUUAUAUUAUCUCAACUUAUUAUUUGUACUCUUCCUUCGCAUCCUCCCUUUACCCCCUAUAUUCUAUAUUGUCUUACUUUAACACUUACACUAUUUCUCAAUGUCCCACUUUAUCCUAUUGCGCCAAAUAAGUUAAGAAAGUCAUUAAUUGUUUUGACAUACAUGACAUGUUCGUGGAACUCAUGGGUAAUAGGAGGUAGGUUAAACACAAAUUAGGAUUUGAUUUCUCCAUACUAAGAGAAAAAUAUAAGAAGAGAAGGUUGAAAUAUAAAAAGAGAAUGUUGAAUUUCAAGAUUCGCAAAUCAAUUUCAAUGUUUUUAGAUCCCUUCGCGAAGAUUCUUAGGGUUCUGUCACGAGAAUCUCUACCUAUAUCACUUUCUUUUUCUUUAUUUUUCUUAAUCUGAAAAAUCAAACUCUAGUUUGAGCACGUCUUACUAACAAAGUUAAAAAGAUUAAAUUGUCCAUGCGACAUUAGCACAAUUAACAUCUCUUUUUAAAUUAUUUGACAACGUAGGAUAAAGUGAGACAUUGAGGAAGAAUGCAUGUGUUAAAGUGAGACAAUAUAGAGUGUAAGGGGUAAAGUGAGAAAAGAAGAAAAGAAUGAAGGUGAUAAAUCGAGUCAAAAUAUAAUGUAGAAACUAAAGUAAGAUUUGACGAAUAAUACAUGUGUCAUAGCUAAAAAUAAACAAAAUGUAUAUACUCUAUAUAUAAUAUAUGAGACAGAUGAUCUGAAAUUACAAGACUAGUCACAGAGAUUCCUUUGAGCAUCCAUCGUAUCUUCUUGGUCCUUGAGGGCUUUUACACCUCAGCUGCACAUGCUUUGGUUCACAAAUCUUUUGUCCACAUUUCCAUUGGUGGGUUACACGCAAUGCCACUUUAGCUUUUAACUACUUUUUGCUCAAGUACUCACUUGGUCACACACCACAGGUCCACAGUCCACGCCCCAAAAAGCUUCUUUCAUUAUAAAUUAGGGUUUUGGCAAAGAAUUAAGAGAAAAACAGCAAUAUAAAAGGAAAAUUAGCACAGACCAAAAAAAUAUAUAUACAAUUAGCAGUUGUGGUGGUCAUGGUCGGGUCAACACACAUUCUUUUGUUCUUCUUUCUUUAUUAUUCAACAGGUUAAUUAAUUGGCUUUUUCUCCAUAUUUUUUUUUUAUGAAUUAUCAACUUUCCCUCCCAUGAUAUGGCAAAUUGCAUAGAGAAGUUCAUCAACUAGUCAUGAUUGUGCGAGGAUAAUUUUCAACCAUGCAUAUAAUUCUUCAAACUCCUUUACCUUUAUUACAAACGGAUGUGAUUGUUGUUCUCACUAAGAGACAGCAUAUAGGUAGUCCAAAAUAUUUGUUGGCCAUAUAAACAUUAUUUGGCCCCAAACGGAAAUAUAUCCAACUGAUUUUAUCUAGAAUUUGACUCAAAACUAAAACAAGCUAUGGUAAUUAAAGGCUCAAUUCUAAUAUUGCUAUUGACAGUUUGUUAAGUAAGACGUUAAUCAGUUUGUCUAAUUACUUAGAGACUACGUCUUUUAGCAGAGAUGUAUAUACAAGUCUUCUCAGUUCUGUUGUACAAAUCAUUCUAAAAUCAAUGCCUUUUUUAGAGGAGAUGUUAUGAUUCACCAAACCUUUUUGUUUUUCCUAUUCCAUGCAUGUUGGUUGUGCGUAUAUAAUCUUUCAAAUAAUUUUAUUUGCCGAGAUCUCGAUCAUAAAUUUCAGAAAGCGUAAAAAAUUAAAAAAAAAUAAAAUUAUGCAUCCACAAUUUUUCACUUUAGAAAAAAGCAGUCAAAGUGUACUCCCUUGUUUUCCUUGUUGAUGAAAAAGCAAAGUGUACUCCUUUCUUUAUCUUGUUGAUGUUUUGUUGCAUGUCGCCUUUCCAAUCAGCUAAGUAACUAUUCUGCUACCCAACCAAAAAUCAAAUAAAAAACUUAUAAUACUAAUGAAAACUUCACUCUAGUUAAAGGGCCUUUUUGACUCAAUAAUAAAUAAUAUAUACACACACAUAUUAUUUCCAUUUAGAGACCUGGAUUUCACUGUUAUAAUCUACGUAUUUGUAUUAUUGAGAUUUUAGAUUAUUUUUCGAGAAUUUAUUUUAAAUUGUUUGAAUUUAGAUCUUAAUUAGAUUAGUUACGAAGUUGAAGUUUGGAAAUUAAUUAUUUAAAAUUCGUAGACCGUUUGAGGUCACAAAUUACAUUUUCGA
rnacentral:lncRNA from 1 species